rnacentral:rRNA from 1 species
UACGUAGGUGGCAAGCGUUGUCCGGAUUUACUGGGCGUAAAGAGCGCGCAGGCGGUCGAUCAAGUCGCGUGUGAAAGCCCCCGGCUCAACUGGGGAGGGUCACGCGAUACUGAUCGACUCGAAGGCAGGAGAGGGUAGUGGAAUUCCCGGUGUAGUGGUGAAAUGCGUAGAGAUCCGGAGGAACACCAGUGGCGAAGGCGACACGCUGGGCCGUACCUGACGCUAAAGCGCGACAGCAUGGGGAGCAAACAGG